UACAAUCAAAAUCCAAUACAUAAAUAUAUUCAACUAAUUUAGUUGAAACAUAAAGUGUCCAACAACUACAAUCCAAUCAGAUUAAAAAGUGUUCAACCAUUACACUAAAAGGAAAGAAUAUCUCAGUCAUAGCUAACGUACAUAAGUCCUAGCACCUAUAUAGAUCUAAAUUGUCCACUACAAGAUGGUUUUGUGGUCUACAGCUGAGAAUUGUCCACUUCUUUGAAUCCAGACUUCAUUAUAGCAUACAUGUUCAAAGUGCUAGCCUUCUCGGGUCCAAACUUAGAUUCCUAUAAGACCAUGAAAUGAAGUCACAGAUUAGUUUAGCCAUAGUUGUAUCUAGGUAUCAUCACAAGAUUAAAGAAACAUCACUAAUUUGUUUAGCUACAAUCAUAGUAAUCCCAUUGACUCAACUUCUGUUAGCAUAUUCAAAUGUGAAGUCACCUACUUACAAUGUCAAUCUAAGCAUGUAGACAUGUAUAACAGAUUAAUUGUUGAACCUUAUAAGAAACUAGUUAAAUUUAAGUGGUUCAAUCUACUAGACUAAUAUCACCACUUUGUCAUUGAAUAGUUAGAACUAGCAAUCAAAAUGUAGUGUUCAUACCAGCAAUUGUUGUGCUCUCUGGAGGGGAAUGGGAGCACUUUCUCCACUGCUGUCCACUGUAUUAAUUGCAGAUUUCAUUGCAGCAUAUGUGCUCAAAAUGGUAGCCUUCUCAAGUAUGCAAUGCUUAGAAAUCAACUCACGUUCCGCCAUUGUUUUUAUUCCAUCAAUUUUUUAAAUGACUUUAGACACAAAAAUGUUCACUCCUAUCAACCAAAUAGCAACACUAUUAUCUACAGAUUUACUAAACAACAGUUGAUGAGGACAUCCCUAGCAUUCAUUCAUCUUCAAAUGAAACUCCACUUGAUAUAAGUGGUCCAAUUACAAGAAGUAGAGCUAAACAAUUGGAGAAGGAAAUUCAUUCUCAGGUGAACGCUAACCUUAUGUUUAAUAAUCAGUUUAUGUUGAAUGAUCCUAUACUUUUGAGUUCUUGUUUCAAUGUCCUUAGGAAUGAUGGAGGGUAUGAACCAGCAUGGGAUGAAGAUGGAUUCAAGCCUUUGGACAUCUGAACCAAGAAGCCUAUCGUGUGCAUAAAUAAAAUGGUGGUUCAUUACUUCUGCAUGAGAAGGCAACCAGAAGCUAGAUGGCUGACCCAUGGUACAAAUUCCAAGCAUCACCACGGACAGAAUACAAGGAGUUACGUGGCAUUCUACAGAUGGAUGAAAGCAUCUUUAAGUCUAUGUUGCAGCCCAUCAAACGGUUCAUUAUUUAGACUUCCCAAUAAAGAGUUAUGCUCAUUUUAGUAACUGCUGCCAGAAGCUGAGAAGACGCGCGAACCAGCCACGAAAUCCACUAGUGGAUGUGCAUGCUGUCAUGUAUUCAAAGCUGAACGCCCCUAUCUAUAUAUAUCUCUUGUACUAGACAAUGAAAGGACAUUUUUUGCUUGGUUAAAAUUCAGAAUACACAAACUCGUGGAGUUUUGUUUAUGCGUGAGUCUUGAGAGGCUUGCAAAACUCGUUCUUUCGAUUCCUGAGGGAGUUGUAGAACGCCGAACUGCGGUUCAUCCAGUUUGUGCCUUCACGUCUAUACGGCGUGAUUGCGUGGGCUAUUCGUCGGUACGUGGAAGGGUGAUUGUCUCGGUAGUUCGUCGCGUGGACAGCCUCGCGGUGCACUGUCUCUUCACCAGGUCACGCAGCGACAAGUUAUCAAGUUCGCGAAUCCUACGAGAAGAUCGGGCCACAACGACUUGUCUCACGCUAUCCCUAGGCGUGAGCAUAUCAACAGUGCCUAUUUUGUAUCUAACCUUUUGGCCUGAGAUCAAGUGCAUUCAAAAUUCAUAGAAAGAAUUAUAGCAUAUGGUUCAUUUAUUGGAAAUGUAUGUCACUGAAGGACACACAAAAACAAGUAAACAGUGAACAUCUGAAUAUGCAGCAAGUCAUUGAAAGAAAAACAUUUUCAAAUGAAGCAUUGACUUGUUACUGGUUACAUGUUUGGCUAAACUAAUAUUGUGUUCCAGAUGCACUAUCACUCAAACAGCACCAAAGUGAGAGUAGCAACAGUCAUAACCUACACCAAUCUAGGUAGAAUAUCUAGCUUUGCAAUGAGGCCCCUAACCUACACCAAUAAAGAGAAAUCUAGAAAAAAUUCAGUUAGCAACAUAAUGAGCAGUCAGUCAUUUUUCUGAGCUUCUAGACAUCCAAUGUAAAUAUGAUGAAAAAAUGCUACAAUUUUUUUGUCCUCAAAUUACAAGUUCAGAUAGAUCUUUUAUCAAAUUGAUAAUAAAAUACAUGUAUUUUGUACCCUAGUACUGCAGAACUACCAAGCACAUAUAUGCAGCUGCACCUAUUUUCAGUUUAAUAUUCACAAAUCAAUCACUAGAUUAGAUCUGUUUUAAAAUUGUUGCCAACCACUGCAGAUACGUCAGCACUUAAGAUUUUGGCUCUAUUAUUAGAACAGUUGAAAGUGUUUCCCCCAUUCAGUCAUUAUAAGAAACAGGUAGCCAGCACACAUGGGCAUCACAAGAUAAGCACACGAGCGAUCGAGACUCACCGCAAAAAACACCCCGACGGCGUUGCUGACCGGAGAUCUGGUGGCCUUGAAGUCCCUACAAGGCAAGAUGUGGCACACAAAUAAGCAGGCGGGAAGGAAAUGAGGGCAAUAGCUGGGGAGAAAGGGACAGAGGGAUGAGGGAGGCCCAAACCUGUUUUAUUAUCAUCACAGUCCAAUCCCCUAUUGUAUUUUACUAGUAAAUUAAUAGACUGGUAUAAUAGGACCAUCGAUUGAGACCUAAACCUAUGUGAAUAUGUGAUUUAAACCUUCAGAAAUUACAGAUCUAUGCUAAUAGCCAUUGGAUCCAGUCACACAAUAGCAAGCUUACUUAAAGAGAAGAUGGAUCUGAAUUUUUACCUGUGCACAGUGACCUGAUUGCAACAAGAAGCAAGGUGGAUCCAAAUUUCCAAUGACUUGAGAUCUGAAUGCAAGGAGAAUGAAGGAGAGUCUGACGUCCUGGACUGUGCUCAGGCCUCGAUGUGGAGGGUAUCGGCAGGAGCACACAUGACUGCGGGGCGAUGGAUGAGGAGGAGGAUGGGAUGAGCAGAGGAGGGCAGAUGUGCGACAAUGGUAGGUGUUCGUGUGAGGGGCGAUGGAUGACGGCGAAGGAGGGGAUGAGCAAAUGAGGGAGGUGGAGUGGAGGGCAGACCAGCGCCGGCGGAAGGAGCUCGGGUGGGUGACGGUGGGAAGGGGUUUGGGCGAGUUGGGGAGG
rnacentral:lncRNA from 1 species